rnacentral:rRNA from 1 species
GAAGUCGUGAGACCAAAGUGGGGGACCUUCGGGCCUCCUUCGUCGGAUGAGCCCAGAUGAGAUUAGCUGGUAGGUAGGGUAAAGGCUUACCUAGGCGACGAUCUCUAGCGGGUCUGAGAGGAUAGCCCGCCACACUGGAACUGAGACACGGUCCAGACUCCUACGGGAGGCAGCAGUGGGGAAUAUUGCACAAUGGGCGAAAGCCUGAUGCAGCCAUGCCACGUGUGUGAAGAAGGCCUUCGGGUUGUAAAGCACUUUCAGCGAGGAGGAAGCGAUAAAUGCCAAUACCAUUUAUUUUUGACGUUACUCGCAGAAAAAGCACCGGCUAACUCCGUGCCAGCAGCCGCGGUAAUACGGAGGGUGCGAGCGUUAAUCGGAAUAACUGGGCGUAAAGGGCAUGUAGGCGGUGAGUUAAGUCAGAUGUGAAAUCCCCGAGCUCACUUGGGAAUGGAUUUGAAACUGGGUCGCUAGAGUUUUCUAGAGGGGGGUAGAAUUCCAGGUGUAGCGGUGAAAUGCGUAGAUAUCUGGAGGAAUACCGGUGGCGAAGGCGGCCCCCUGGAGAAAGACUGACGCUGAGGUGCGAAAGCGUGGGGAGCAAACAGGAUUAAAUACCCUGGUAGUCCACGCUGUAAACGAUGUCGAUUUGGAG